rnacentral:misc_RNA from 1 species
AAUAUAAAGCCUUUUUGUAAUGAAGUCUCAGAAAUCAGCUGCUAAUCUCAGUAGGUAUUAUGCGACAACCACGUAGAAUGUUAAUUCAUGUAUAACAGAUGCAUAGGUAGCAGAAAAUACAUCAGGAUUUAAUGUGUGCUAGUUGAAAAUAGAUAACUUUCUUAAGAAAUACCUCACUUGGGCGUCUGUUGCCAAAGAUAAACUAUAGGCAGUCUCCAGAUGCAAGCAGGUGCUAUCAAAUUUGCAAGAAAAUGCAAAACAAUGAUUGGUUUGUCAGUGCAUGGUUUUAUCACAAGUACAAAGCUUCUAACUCACAAUUACAAACAUCACUUCCCAUUCUUCGUUUCUUUGUCAUAAACACAAAAAUGGCCUUUCCCUAGCCCGUCUACUUGUAAUUUUUCCCACGUCACCAUUAGCUAAUACUUAUGCUUCUCUGCCCGAUUAGUGGAGGUUAACAUGAUGUGAUAAAUUGAGCCAAAAUCUCUAAUAUCUCUCCAUCCACAUUUUCCUUCCAUCGUAAUUCUAAACAGCUUGCUAGUAUUUGGUAAACCCGCGAGGAUUGCAACUCAACUCCCAGAAGUAGUUCUUCGUUUCACCACCAAAUCAUCAGCGGAAUAAUAAUCAGCAAUGAGUCGAUACAUGUAUGAAGGAUUAUGCCCUCCGGUGUCAGUGAUGAACAGACUAACAAGCUUCGGUGGUACAUAGUCAAAUGUUGGAUUUACAACAUGCAGAAGAGGAGAGCCAGUGACACUCCUAAAAUCCAAGCAAUCAGAGAAUUCUCCAAAAUCCAGCAGCUCAGAAGGGGAUCUCAAUUCAUUUAGUAAGACCUCAGGAUUGUGUGGAUAUAAGGGGCACAGCUUGUGACUACCAGCAAGCACAACAAAUGGAACAGCAUGUUUUUGAGCUGCAAGUGCAACCAUAUUCAACCCAACAGGUGCUAUAACGCCACCAUUAGCCAUGACAGCAUGAGCUCCCACUAUAACCAUGUUCACUCGAGAAAUCAUGGCAAAAACUGCAGAAUCAGUAAUCAAAGUGGUCUGUAAACCUCUUGCAACCAAUUCUUUGGCAAGAAGAUGCCCUUGAUACCUUGGAGCACCCUCAGCAACAAAUACUCUGAAUGAUCUUUUCUUCUCCUUAGCAGCACAAAGAAAUUCCAAUACUGUUCUUGAACUGCCUAAAGUUAAUAUUACCUCAUUUUGAUGAAUAUGUUCCACUGCUUGCUCAGCAAUCUGUUCAUGACAAGUAGUAAUAUCUUGUAUAAGCUCAUUAACUGCUUCAAUGACAUCAUGUUUCAACUUCCGACUUCUUGAACUUUUAUCAGCAGAUUUGCUCUUUCCUUCAGAAUCACCCCCUGAUGAAGAAGUAUGAGGAAUAGCUGCUGAGUCAGGCAUGUCCUCCAGGAGAGUCUGCAAGGAAGGUGGACGCAAAGUACUUCUUGCAGCAGCAGCAACGACAGCAGCUGACAAAACUGGGAGAUCAUCUCGUUCCUCAUCAUCCUCAUCAUCACUUACAGCUGAUAAGUUCAAUCCCGCCAUAGCAGCUGUGGUCAGAGAAAGAUCCUCCUCCCUAAUAAUGUGUAAAACACGCCUCACUAUAUUACCCACAGCCAGCUCAACAGGAUUUGCAGCAAUUAGCUGCUCUCCAACAGCCUUCACGGCAUCAAUCAAAGCUCCAGCCUGGUUGUUAUAAGGUACUCGCUGCUGUGAAAUUACCGACCGUAGCAACUCCGCCGUCUGCCUUGAGGUGGCCUGAGAGCCCUCGAUCUUCCGCUUCUUAAGCUUGUUGAGAAAAUCAUUGACGAGAGCUUGCACGUCAGGCAUGGUUACCCCAACGUUUCCCCCAAGAUGCUAAAGGAGAGAUCUAAUAAACAUAUGAAAGAAAGAUGAGAGCUCUUCCCGAGGCUUAUAGUUAAACUCGCAGUGACGAAGAGCUUCCCGGCGAAGCCUUGUGGUUUUAGGUAUGGGCUUUUAU